GCUCACUCUGUUCUCGUCGUCGUUGUCCGACCCUUAUUUCUUCUUCGUCUCCGACUCCAAGAAACGACGCAAAGACCUAAUCUGGAUCGGGCAUGACGACCAGCAAUCUUCCUCCGGGGGUGCUUCUUCUCGUCUCCCUGAUAUAUGUUAUGGUCCCCUUCUUCCCCUGAGAUUUCGAUCGAAGAUCUAAUUUCUUUUCCUUUUCUCUCUUCCUUUCUUGGUGCUUCUUACGGUCUCCUUCAUCCCCCGAGAUUCCGUCUCCCUAAUAUAGGGUUCCGGUCCCCUUCUUCCACGGGAUUUCGAUCGAAGAUCUGAUUUAUUUUCCUUUUCUUUCUCUCUUGACGCUUCGUUCGAACGGGAAACGUCAGCGAACCAGGUGGUUCUCCUCCUCGUUUUCGUCGAUUCCUAUGCGAUAGUGUUAUGGGCGGAUUGUUCUACGUAGUCAGCCAUUGAUGUUAUUUGGGAUUCAAAACACGACAUGUUGUUGAUACAUUGUCUAUUUGGAGUGUCAUGGUUUUUGUCCUCCUUGUUGACUUCAUCUUGGUUUCUUUUGUUGCAGCACUUGGGAUCAAUGCAUCUCCAUGAGAAGAAACAUGCGCUACUUCAACGUUAUGAUUCUUGGCCAGGCAGAGUCUCGUUAUGAAGGUUCUUUCUAGAAGGACUACUUUAGCUGUUCCAUAUGGGUGCAUGUAGAAAGAAGACACCUUUGAUGUCUUUCAUUUUGACUGAUUUAACAAUAUCUUCUUCAGUCACCUCUUGUUGUUGUCAUCAGUGUCAUCGGGUACAUGGAGUCCUGCAGAGUUGCCUUCAUCCUCAUGGACUGUUCAUACCGCUCCCUUGUUGCUCAGAGGGUUUAGGACUCUCUCUUUUUUCAAUGAGUUUUGCAGUUGCUGUCCAAACCUUCUUAAAACUCUCUUUUUUCAUUGAGUUUUGCAGUUGCUGUCCAAACCUUCUUAAAACUCUGUCUUAGGGGCUCAAAGGAUACUGCUGCUGCUGCUCUGGCCCUAGUCAGAAGAAAUGAGUGGGCACUGAAGACCAAUAAGAUAAUGGUCGAGGUGCAACCAGUGAACAGGAAGAGUGCCCAAAAGCUGUCCAAGCUUAGGCUCUCCUUUUUCCUGUCGUUGUCUGGGGUUGGAGAGCUGGACAAGGCGACCGAAAACCACUUCUUUUCUAGGUUAUUUAGUGCCCCGUUCUCUGCUAGUUGCAGUAUGACUUGGGAGAAGUCAGCAGCCAGAGGAGAAUCUUUGGGGAACACCUGAGUAAGAGGAAAAGUAAACAUAAUGUUAAUAGUGUACUCGGUUGAGUAAUUCACGAGUGCAAAAGAGUCUGGAAAUGCCUGCUCAAGAAAUUAGAUGAUAUACAUGCUCGUGUAAGCAAUUUUAAUGCAUAGAUUUAUUUGUAGGGUUGACAUCGUAUAUAUGUGUGUGUGCAGGUAGGAUAAGAAAAUUAAGUUGCAUAUUUAUGUGCAAUUGCAUGCUAAAUUUGAACAUUUUUGUGAAAAAAAUUUAUUAGCAGGGCAAUGAAGUAUUUUUCGUAUUCCAGGCAGGGAUAGAUAAGAUGAGACUCACAAAGCCAAAGCCGCCCAGCCUGUGUGUCUCCCCACUGACCGUGAAAUCCUUGUACCGGGAGAGGAACACCCUGAUAUAAGGCGUCUCAAGCCUAACACAUCCUUCACGUACUUGAGAAGAAAGGCGCUGCCAUCAUAGCCAACCCUACUUCCUGGUGGCACCGCUCCAAGUUUCUCAGUAACUAGUAUGGAGCUGAGGUUCGCUGUGAAGCUGGAUGUCAAGAUGAAGACCACAAGCAGCCACACAACCAUCACCGUUUUCGUGUAGUAGCUGUGGAUCCUUCCUUGAUGAUUAAGAAAAGGAAACAUGACACGGGUCAGGUAAAUCACUGGUUUGACAUACAAUGUCAAAUCCUGAUCGAUUCGGUUUACCAUGGGCGAAGAAGAUGGUGGAGAAAAUUAGCCACAGCGCAGCUCCGAGCUGGACGCACCAAGUGCCGUGGAACUCGGGAUUACUGUCGCGUUCGAGGUACCACAAAACGCCUGCGGUGUAGAUCAGGGUGGCAAGGAUAAGGAACCACACGUCUCUCGUGAAUGGCUUUAUGAGCAUCCAUGGCGUGUGGUUGGGUCUCAAGGGCACCAUCAUUGCAAGGCUUGAUGAGAGAAUCGGCUCAGUGAACGAGACAUCCAUUGCCCGUUUUGCCAGGAUCGUUAUGUCCCCCACCGCUGCAUCGAUUACCUAGAACAAAUUUUUUUAUGCAUCAUCA